GACGUAGGGUCCAAGCGUUGUCCGGAUUUACUGGGCGUAAAGAGCGCGCAGGCGGUCGUUCAAGUCGCGUGUGAAAGCCCCCGGCUCAACUGGGGAGGGUCACGCGAUACUGAUCGACUCGAAGGCAGGAGAGGGUAGUGGAAUUCCCGGUGUAGUGGUGAAAUGCGUAGAUAUCGGGAGGAACACCAGUGGCGAAGGCGACUACCUGGCCUGUUCUUGACGCUGGGGCACGAAAGCGUGGGGAGCAAACAGG
rnacentral:rRNA from 1 species